rnacentral:rRNA from 1 species
GCUUCCGUUGAUUGAGGUGCUUGCACUGAUUUCAACACCGAAGCGAGUGGCGAACUGGUGAGUAACACGUGGGAAAUCUGCCCAGAAGCAGGGGAUAACACUUGGAAACAGGUGCUAAUACCGCAUAACAACAAGAACCGCAUGGUUCUUGUUUGAAAGGUGGCUUCGGCUAUCACUUCUGGAUGAUCCCGCGGCGUAUUAGUUAGUUGGUGAGGUAAAGGCCCACCAAGACAAUGAUACGUAGCCGACCUGAGAGGGUAAUCGGCCACAUUGGGACUGAGACACGGCCCAAACUCCUACGGGAGGCAGCAGUAGGGAAUCUUCCACAAUGGACGAAAGUCUGAUGGAGCAAUGCCGCGUGAGUGAAGAAGGGUUUCGGCUCGUAAAACUCUGUUGUUAAAGAAGAACACUUCUGAGAGUAACUGUUCAGAAGUUGACGGUAUUUAACCAGAAAGCCACGGCUAACUACGUGCCAGCAGCCGCGGUAAUACGUAGGUGGCAAGCGUUGUCCGGAUUUAUUGGGCGUAAAGCGAGCGCAGGCGGUUUUUUAAGUCUGAUGUGAAAGCCUUCGGCUUAACCGGAGAAGUGCAUCGGAAACUGGGAAACUUGAGUGCAGAAGAGGACAGUGGAACUCCAUGUGUAGCGGUGGAAUGCGUAGAUAUAUGGAAGAACACCAGUGGCGAAAGCGGCUGUCUAGUCUGUAACUGACGCUGAGGCUCGAAAGCAUGGGUAGCGAACAGGAUUAGAUACCCUGGUAGUCCAUGCCGUAAACGAUGA